CCUACGGGUGGCAGCAGUGAGGAAUAUUGGUCAAUGGUCGGGAGCCUGAACCAGCCAAGCCGCGUGCAGGAUGAAGGUACAGCGUAUUGUAAACCUCUUUUGUCAGGGAACAAAGGCGGGGACUAGUCCCCGUAUGAGGGUACCUGAAGAAAAAGCAUCGGCUAACUCCGUGCCAGCAGCCGCGGUAAUACGGAGGAUGCGGGCGUUAUCCGGAUUUAUUGGGUUUAAAGGGUGCGCAGGCGGACUGUUAAGUCAGCGGUAAAAGCCCGGGGCUCAACCCCGGCGAGCCGUGGAAACUGGCGGGCUGGAGUGGGCGAGACGUAUGCGGAAUGCGUGGUGUAGCGGUGAAAUGCUUAGAUAUCGCGCAGAACUCCGAUUGCGAAGGCAGCGUACCGGCUCCACACUGACGCUGAGGCACGAAAGCGUGGGUAUCGAACAGGAUUAGAUACCCCGGUAGUC
rnacentral:rRNA from 1 species